CCUACGGGUGGCAGCAGUGAGGAAUAUUGGACAAUGGGCUUACGCCUGAACCAGCCACGCCGCGUGGGUGAAGACUGCCCUCUGGGUUGUAAACCUCUUUAGCAAGGGAGCAAAUGGCGCUACGUGUAGCGUUAUCGAGAGUACCUGAAGAAAAAGCAUCGGCUAACUCCGUGCCAGCGGCCGCGUUAAUACGAAGGAUGCGAGGGUUAUCGGGAUUUGUUGGGUUUAAAGGGUGCGUAGGCGGAAUGCAAAGUCAGCGGGAAAAUCGCGGGGCGAAACCCCGCUCCGCCAUUGAAACUGGCGGGCUUGAGUGGACGAGGGGUAUGCGGAAUGCGUGGUGUAGCGGUGAAAUGCGUAGAUAUCAGGAGGAACACCGAUGGCGAAGGCGGCCUGCUGGCGUGCAACUGACGUUGAGGCACGAAAGCGUGGGGAGCGAACAGGAUUAGAUACCCCAGUAGUC
rnacentral:rRNA from 1 species